UACGUAGGGUGCAAGCGUUAAUCGGAAUUACUGGGCGUAAAGCGUGCGCAGGCGGUUAUGUAAGACAGUUGUGAAAUCCCCGGGCUCAGCCUGGGAAUUGGCAUCUGUGACUGCAUAGCUAGAGUACGGUAGAGGGGAUGGAAUUCCGCGUGUAGCAGUGAAAUGCGUAGAUAUGCGGGAGGAACACCGAUGGCGAAGGCAAUCCCCUGGACCUGUACUGACGCUCAUGCACGAA
rnacentral:rRNA from 1 species